CUGCAAUUUUCUGGAAGAGUUUGAGUAGGAUAGGUGUUAGCUCUUCUCUUUGUAUUCACUUUUAAAGAAAUCAGGGCUGAGACAGAAUCACUUUAUGCGAGCCUUAUGCUAUUCCAUCUAUUAAAUAAAUGUGAUUCCUAAGACAAUCUACCUAACUUUGGGUUUCCAACAAUUACUUGUAAAAAUGAACAUCAGAUUUAGUUUGUAGUCAGUUUAAAGUAUACGGAUUUGAAUGUGAGCCCAGAACUGAAAUUUGAUUUAUUCACAUUUUCUAUCUCGAUAUCCAACAACACCAGGAAGAGCUUGGAAAUGUUACUUUGGUUAUAAAGCUGCCACCAGAAGCCAGCUGACCAUGUCAUUUCAUGGAAAGGGCUCCAGGCAAAGCCAUUAUGUGGAGGCGCCAAGGAAAGGAGCCUGGGAAAAAACUACAUGCAGUCUGAGUGCAUAUUAGGUUUCUGUAGGAAAAGAGGAUGAGAAGCUGGAAAGAAAAAUGAAAAUGAUCCGAAGUAAUCAACAUGCAAGUACUCAUUUUUAGGAAAUAACAGUUGACAGUUAAAUAACCAUUUCCUGAUAAGGGUACGCAAACCUCCAAACAUUUUCAAAAUUGCUUGUGGAUUAAAAACACAUUUCAUCAAUGCUGGAAAUAUUUACAGGCAAUUACUUUAACAUUAAGACACCCUACACACACUUUAUCUUAUUUGCAGAGCAUUUUACAGAAUACACUAAAAUUUCACAUAUAUCAGAAUUAGAAAGGAAUUUACCUCACCAAAAACCUUGCUUCAUGAUUAUUUACAAUCUACUCUUCAACUUGAAAGUUUUUAAAAAAGAGAAAAGCAUAAUAUCACAAAAAGACAUCUAUUUAUUUCUGAUUCUUAGAGAACACAGAGACUAAAGAAGCUAGUUAACAGUAAUAGUUGAGUAGGGUAGCUGUUUCGCUUGAUAGUCUCAUAAGGUUCCUACACACAUUCUUACUAUCAUCACUAUGUGUAUCAGGUUAAUGCAGAUGAAGGAAUAGACACUGUUAAGAGAAAAGAGAACGCCAUGAUAUAAAG
rnacentral:lncRNA from 1 species